rfam:Aedes albopictus isolate Foshan contig118155, whole genome shotgun sequence.
GGCAUGUUAGCCUAGUGGUUAAGGCAAUGGAUCGCCAAUCCGGAGAUGAUGGGUUCGAUUUCCGUUCCAGUCG